UACGUAGGGUGCGAGCGUUGUCCGGAAUUAUUGGGCGUAAAGAGCUCGUAGGCGGUCUGUCGCGUCGGAUGUGAAAACCCAGGGCUUAACCCUGGGCCUGCAUUCGAUACGGGCAGACGUAGAGUUCGGUAGGGGAGACUGGAAUUCCUGGUGUAGCGGUGAAAUGCGCAGAUAUCAGGAGGAACACCGGUGGCGAAGGCAGCUCGCUGGGACGUGACUGACGCUGAGACGCGAAAGCGUGGGGAGCAAACAGG
rnacentral:rRNA from 1 species